GAAAAUCUCCCCAGGAUGUGCUGUGAGCUGGAAUGGCAGCCGCUCCGGCCGAGUUCUUGGUCUCUGUCCAGGAUUUGCAAGGAGACUGGCAGUAGCUAAGAAGCCUCUUUGAAAUGACUUUGCAUUGUGGAAAGAAGUUCACGGUGGAUGGAAUGUCCUCUCCAUUUCUGAACAGAGACGAAAAAGUGCCACUGCAUAAUAUUCCAUGUUUCUGAGGACCCUUCAUACUUCAAGGUCAAGUCCAGGAACCACAUGGCAGCCAUGAUCUGGUUUAAAGAACACUAGGCCAGCCUCUGGAGACCCAGAUUUCAUUUUGUCUCUGCCAGUUACUCACUGUGUGAACUCGGGUAAGCAGCUUAACUUCUCUGGGCUUUUUGAGUCUGAGUUUCUCACUGAUGUUCCUAUCACCUUCUUUUAUAGCAUUUUCUAUUAGUCUUUGGAACUAUUUAAACGCUUUCUUUGAAUAUAUUUAAAUAUA
rnacentral:lncRNA from 1 species